UACGUAAGGACCGAGCGUUGUCCGGAAUCAUUGGGCGUAAAGGGUACGUAGGCGGUUAUAAAAGUUAGAAGUGAAAGGCUAUAGCUCAACUUUGGUAAGCUUUUAAAACUGUUUAACUUGAGAGAUGUAGGGGAAAGUGGAAUUCCUAGUGGAGCGGUGAAAUGCGCAGAGAUUAGGAGGAAUACCGGUGGCGAAGGCGA
rnacentral:rRNA from 1 species